GAUCUCGAAAGCCUGUCCCAGUUCGGACUGGAGUCUGNAACCCGACUCCACGAAGUUGGAUUCGCUAGUAAUCGCGCAUCAGCCAUGGCGCGGUGAAUACGUUCCCGGGCCUUGUACACACCGCCCGUCAAGCCAUGGGAGCCGGGGGCGCCUGAAGUCCGGGACCGCGAGGACCGGCCUAGGGCGAAACUGGUAACUGGGGCUAAGUCGUAACAAGGUAAC
rnacentral:rRNA from 1 species